rnacentral:lncRNA from 1 species
AGUAGGAUGCAAUAUAGCGACCUCCUUAAGUAAUAGGGGUUGCUUUACACCGUAAUUCAUAAAUCUUCGACUCAUCAGACGCGUCAUAAUAUAUAUGGGCUGUACUCUCUCAUACAUCUUCAGUUGUUGGUAGAUCUAAGAACAAUUCUACCAAAUCAGGUUCCAUAAUUUUUAUCAACCAUCCUUUAACAAUGGAGUCCUCAAUACACCACAAAUCAAAGCCUGGAGCGUCUUCCUCCACUUGUGCCAUCUUCCGUGUCAAAUAACCUCUUUUUCCCUGGCCUGACAAAUGAAGCAACAUCAUCUUCGACCAAGUGCUAUAGUUCUUUCCAUUCAACUAUAUGGUGAAUGGGGCAACGGAAGUAUCAUUACAAACUGUAACAAUUGGUUGCACCAUGUCAAGAUUUUUAUGGAUUUCUGAAGCACUGGAAGCACAGUGGGGCUGUCUGGGGUAUCUUCGAAAGCCAUGGAAGAGAGAGAACAAGUUGGGAUGGGUUGGUGUUGUAGGAGUCUUUUGUCGCACAAGGUUUGUGAUGACAAGGGCUCAGCCACUGUUUUGCGACAGCUGGGUUUUUUUUUUUUUUUUUCCUUUCUUUUCUUGUAUUCGGAGCUAGAGGAUGCUGAUGGGUAGGGUUUGUAUUUUUGUUUGAGAGACUAGGGUUAACCAGCUCUGAUACCAACUAAAACUAAACACAGGAUGGAAUAAUUGUGAUUGAUUAUAUUUCUCUAAGAGGAGGAUAUAUAUAUACAAGUACAAGUUCACUUUUCCAACAAAG